rnacentral:rRNA from 1 species
UACGAAGGGGGCUAGCGUUGUUCGGAAUUACUGGGCGUAAAGCGCACGUAGGCGGACUAUUAAGUCAGGGGUGAAAUCCCGGGGCUCAACCCCGGAACUGCCUUUGAUACUGGUAGUCUCGAGUCCGGAAGAGGUGAGUGGAAUUCCCAGUGUAGAGGUGAAAUUCGUAGAUAUUGGGAAGAACACCAGUGGCGAAGGCGGCUAACUGGUCCGGUACUGACGCUGAGGUGCG